UUGAGCUGGGCAAAUUUAUUGUGGCCGGUUACAAGGCAUGUUUGGCAGCAAUUAGCUUUUGUAAUAUUGCUGCCAUUCAUACCUUACAAUUGGUCUCAGUGUUUCCAACACCGAUAAAC
rnacentral:precursor_RNA from 15 species